rnacentral:lncRNA from 12 species
AAGUCCUGGCCUGUGGCUGUAAAGCAAGUCCUUGGGACUGCAAGGAUGUGUCUCUGUGCACAGCCAGGCUGGCUGAAGGAUGCUGGAGGGAGGAAAGGAUGCUUUAAGCCCACUGGCACCAGGAGGUGGAUUCAGCCUGCACAGCCCUGCAGCAGUGACAGCUGGCCCAGAGAGAACACAGGACCACUCUUGAGCAUGACACCAGUCUGCAGGAGCAACACCUGAGCUCAUGUGUUUGCUGUGGUGGUUUGAGCUCAUGUGGCUUUGCAGUGGUUUCAGAAAAUAGGAAUGUGGGAUCAAAAAAGGGAAGAAAAAAGAGAGAGGGUGAGAGGGAGAGGAAUAAGGGCAGGCUGGAGUUCAGAGACAUUCUUGUUCCCACUUUAAUGACAAUAUGAUUUUGGAUGUGAACUAGUCCUGCCCUGGGCCAGGUUUCUUCCUCAGAAACCAGUGCAGAAGUUUCCCCCUUUCUCAAAGGGGCUCCUUCUACAUGGUAGCCUUUCCUGAAGAGGAGUGGGCUGCAGGGAGGGGCUGGCCCAGCUGUGGACCCACCCUGUGGCUCCCACCCCAUCUCGGGUGCUCAGGCAUCACUGUCAGGGCUCCAAGGUGCCUGGGGAUCCCCCUCACAGCCCUUCUGCUGUAAGAAACUGAGUGUUUGCAGGGCCUGAGGGUUUCCCUUUCACCCAGGGGAGUUAUGGCUUGUAUUUUACAGCUAUGUCCUCAUGGGGUUCUGCAAGAUGUCACUUGAUAAAAGUAAUAAGGAGAUUGAUCCUUUACAGAGUUGGCCGACUCUCAUCCCUGGGUCAGAGUUCAGGCUGGAACUUGCCUGUGACUCUUUGAAGAAAUCUGUACUCAUUCUAAGCUGUGUGCUAGUGCUGCUGAAAUCAGGGCAACUUCUCCUCAUCUUUUAACAGGGUCUUGUUUUCCUAUGGUGUUUGGAGCAUAUCUGUUUCCAAGCUGGGGUGUGGAUUUUUUUUUUGUUUGUUUGUUUUGGGUUUUUUUUGUUUUUGUUUUUUUUUCUUUUUUCUUUUUUGGUGCAGGCUAAGAUGUAAGUUGAAAACUGGUUAGGUGUGUCUGGAGGUACAGAAGUGUUGGAACACCAAUUUCCUGGGUGGCUUACUUGGCUCUGUCCCUCUAGCUCCUCACAUGGAUAGACUGGACAAAGGAAAGGAGAGGGUGCCUCACUUGCUAUCAUUAUUUUCCAGUGACAGAAAUUUUUGGUCCAAAUUAAGAAAAUUAGGGGAAGAUGAGGCUCACUAUUAUUUUUCAUAGAUACUUUGGUCACUUUUCCUCCCCUUUCCAGAGAAAAUUUUGAAAUACCAUAAGAAGAUAUUAGGCUGUAUUCCAGCUGGUUCUUUUUUCUGAUGUCACCCAGAGUCUUGCUGGUGUUCCAGGAGCCUUUCUGUUGACCUUCCUCCUCAACCACCUCUCCACCUGAGAUGUUCAACUCCACCUCCCAGGAGGCACUGGAGUACCAGAACGCAGGCAA